rnacentral:rRNA from 1 species
UACGGAGGGUGCAAGCGUUAUCCGGAUUCACUGGGUUUAAAGGGUGCGUAGGUGGAUUGGUAAGUCCGUGGUGAAAUCCCCGAGCUUAACUUGGGAACUGCCAUGGAUACUAUUAAUCUUGAAUGUCGUGGAGAUGAGCGGAAUAUGUCAUGUAGCGGUGAAAUGCUUAGAUAUGACAUAGAACACCAAUUGCGAAGGCAGCUCGUUACGCGAAUAUUGACACUGAUGCACGAAAGCGUGGGGAGCAAACAGG